rnacentral:rRNA from 1 species
CAGCAGCCGCGGUAAUACGGAGGAUCCAAGCGUUAUCCGGAUUUAUUGGGUUUAAAGGGUGCGUAGGUGGCCUGUUAAGUCAGGGGUGAAAGACGGUAGCUUAACUAUCGCAGUGCCUUUGAUACUGACGGGCUUGAAUACACUAGAGGUAGGCGGAAUGUGACAAGUAGCGGUGAAAUGCAUAGAUAUGUCACAGAACACCAAUUGCGAAGGCAGCUUACUAUGGUGUCAUUGACACUGAGGCACGAAAGCGUGGGGAUCAAACAGGAUUAGAUACCCCGGUAGUCCCUGUCUCUUAUAC